UACAGAGGGGGCAAGCGUUGUUCGGAAUUACUGGGCGUAAAGGGCGCGUAGGCGGCCUUCUAAGUCGAACGUGAAAUCCCCGGGCUCAACCCGGGAACUGCGUCCGAUACUGGAAGGCUUGAAUCCGGGAGAGGGAUGCGGAAUUCCAGGUGUAGAGGUGAAAUUCGUAGAUAUUCGCAAGAACACCAGUGGCGAAGGCGGCUCACUGGCCCGGAACUGACGCUGAGGUGCGAAAGCGUGGGGAGCAAACAGG
rnacentral:rRNA from 1 species